CGGACUGCCAGGGCUUUGUGAUGCGCUCUCAAAGAGUCGMGUUGUUUGGGAAUGCAGCUCAAAAUGGGUGGUAAAUUCCAUCUAAAGCUAAAUAUUGGCGAGAGACCGAUAGCGAACAAGUACCGUGAGGGAAAGAUGAAAAGAACUUUGGAAAGAGAGUUAAACAGUACGUGAAAUUGCUGAAAGGGAAACGCUUGAAGUCAGUCACGUUGGCCGGGGAUCAACCUUGCUUUUGCUGGGCGUACUUUCCGGUUAACGGGUCAGCAUCAAUUUUGACCGUUGGAUAAAGGCUUUGGGAAUGUGGCAUCUUCGGAUGUGUUAUAGCCCUUGGUCGUAUACAACGGUUGGGAUUGAGGAACUCAGCACGCCGCAAGGUCGGGUUUUUAACCACGUUCGUGCUUAGGAUGCUGGCAUAAUGGCUUUAAUCGACCCGUCUUGAAACACGGACCAAGGAGUCUAACAUGCCUGCGAGUGUUUGGGUGGAAAACCCGAGCGCGUAAUGAAAGUGAAAGUUGAGAUCCCUGUCGUGGGGAGCAUCGACGCCCGSACCAGACCUUUUGUGACGGAUCCGCGGUAGAGCAUGUAUGUUGGGACCCGAAAGAUGG
rnacentral:rRNA from 1 species